UGUGGUUUAAUUCGAAGCAACGCGCAGAACCUUACCAACCCUUGACAUCCUGUGCUAACUCGAGAGAUCGAGCGUUCACUUCGGUGACGCAGUGACAGGUGCUGCAUGGCUGUCGUCAGCUCGUGUCGUGAGAUGUUCGGUUAAGUCCGGCAACGAGCGCAACCCACAUCCUUAGUUGCCAGCAGGUUAAGCUGGGCACUCUAGGGAAACUGCCCGUGAUAAGCGGGAGGAAGGUGUGGAUGACGUCAAGUCCUCAUGGCCCUUACGGGUUGGGCUACACACGUGCUACAAUGGCAGUGACAAUGGGUUAAUCCCAAAAAGCUGUCUCAGUUCGGAUUGGGGUCUGCAACUCGACCCCAUGAAGUCGGAAUCGCUAGUAAUCGCGUAACAGCAUGACGCGGUGAAUACGUUCCCGGGCCUUGUACACACCGCCCGUCACGCCACCUGAGUUGUCUGCACCCGAAGUCGAUGGCCCAACCCGCAAGGGAGGGAGUCGCCGAAGGUGUGGGGAGC
rnacentral:rRNA from 1 species